rnacentral:rRNA from 1 species
GAGAGGCUCUUCGGAGUAGUAAAGUGGCGUACGGGUGAGUAAUACAUGGGUAAUCUGCCUUUGAGCGGGGGAUAACCAGCCGAAAGGCUGGCUAAUACCCCAUACGCUUCCUGUCCCUCGGGUAAGGAAGGAAAGCUGCAUCGUGGAUGUGGCACUCGAAGAUGGGCUCAUGGCCUAUCAGCUUGUUGGUGGGGUAACGGCCCACCAAGGCAACGACGGGUAGCUGGUCUGAGAGGACGAUCAGCCACACUGGCACUGAGAUACGGGCCAGACUCCUACGGGAGGCAGCAGUGAGGAAUAUUGCGCAAUGGGCGAAAGCCUGACGCAGCGACGCCGCGUGGGGGAAGAAGGUUUUCGGAUUGUAAACCCCUUUUAGGAGGAAAGAUGGGGUGGUUCGCCACCCGGACGGUACCUCCAGAAAAAGCCACGGCUAACUUCGUGCCAGCAGCCGCGGUAAUACGAAGGUGGCGAGCGUUGUUCGGAUUUACUGGGCGUAAAGAGCACGUAGGCGGUUUAGUAAGCCCCUUGGGAAAGCUAUGGGCUUAACCCGUAAAGUUCGAGGGGGACUGCUAAGCUAGAGGGCGGGAGAGGAGCGCGGAAUUUCCGGUGUAGCGGUGAAAUGCGUAGAUAUCGGGAAGAAGGCCGGUGGCGAAGGCGGCGCUCUGGAACGUCUCUGACGCUGAGGUGCGAAAGCGUGGGGAG